rnacentral:rRNA from 1 species
UACUCCGGGGGUAGGGGUGAAAUCCUGUAAUCCUUGGAGGACCACCGGUGGCGAAGGCGUCAAACUAGAACGGAUCCGACGGUGAGGGACGAAGCCGUGGGGCACAAACCGGAUUAGAUACCCGGGUAGUCCACGGUGUAAACGCUGCGGGCUUGGUGUUGGGGGUCCUAAGGGGGCGCCCAGUGCCGGAGAGAAAUUGUUAAGCCUGCCGCCUGGGGAGUACGGUCGCAAGACUGAAACUUAAAGGAAU